AGUUGGAAACGACUGCUAAUACCGCAUAAUGUCUUCGGACCAAACGGGGCUUAGGCUCCGGCGCAAAGAGAGGCCCAAGUGAGAUUAGCUAGUUGGUAAGGUAACGGCUUACCAAGGCGACGAUCUCUAGCUGUUCUGAGAGGAAGAUCAGCCACACUGGGACUGAGACACGGCCCAGACUCCUACGGGAGGCAGCAGUGGGGAAUAUUGCACAAUGGGGGAAACCCUGAUGCAGCCAUGCCGCGUGUGUGAAGAAGGCCUUCGGGUUGUAAAGCACUUUCAGUUGUGAGGAAAAGUUAGUAGUUAAUACCUGCUAGCCGUGACGUUAACAACAGAAGAAGCACCGGCUAACUCCGUGCCAGCAGCCGCGGUAAUACGGAGGGUGCGAGCGUUAAUCGGAAUUACUGGGCGUAAAGCGCACGCAGGCGGUUUGUUAAGCUAGAUGUGAAAGCCCCGGGCUCACCUGGGAUGGUCAUUUAGAACUG
rnacentral:rRNA from 1 species